rnacentral:rRNA from 1 species
GACGAAGGAUGCAAGCGUUAUCCGGAUUCAUUGGGCUUAAAGGGUGCGUAGGCGGCCUUGUAAGUCAGUGGUGAAAUCUCGCAGCUUAACUGCGAAACUGCCAUUGAUACUGCAGGGCUUGAGUACAGAUGCUGUGGGCGGAAUAUGACAUGUAGUGGUGAAAUACAUAGAGAUGUCAUAGAACACCGAUUGCGAAGGCAGCUCACAAAACUGUAACUGACGCUGAGGCUCGAAAGUGUGGGGAUCAAACAGG